AUUGAACGCUGGCGGCAGGCAUAACACAUGCAAGUCGAGCGGUAACAGAGAGAAGCUUGCUUCUCUGCUGACGAGCGGCGGACGGGUGAGUAAUGCCUAGGAAUCUGCCUAGUAGCGGGGGAUAACUUGCCGAAAGGUAAGCUAAUACCGCAUACGUCCUACGGGAGAAAGGAGGGGACCUUCGGGCCUUUCGCUAUUAGAUGAGCCUAGGUCGGAUUAGUUAGUUGGUGAGGUAAUGGCUCACCAAGACCGCGAUCCGUAACUGGUCUGAGAGGAUGAUCAGUCACACUGGAACUGAGACACGGUCCAGACUCCUACGGGAGGCAGCAGUGGGGAAUAUUGGACAAUGGGGGGAACCCUGAUCCAGCCAUGCCGCGUGUGUGAAGAAGGUCUUAGGAUUGUAAAGCACUUUAAGUUGGGAGGAAGAGCAGUUAACUAAUAUUUGACUGUUUUGACGUUACCGACAGAAUAAGCACCGGCUAACUUCGUGCCAGCCGCCGCAGUAA
rnacentral:rRNA from 1 species